rnacentral:rRNA from 1 species
GACGAACGCUGGCGGCGUGCUUAACACAUGCAAGUCGAACGGUGAUCUUGGGAGCUUGCUCCUGGGUGAUCAGUGGCGAACGGGUGAGUAACACGUGAGUAACCUGCCCCUGACUCUGGAAUAACUUCGGGAAACCGAAGCUAAUACCGGAUAUGACACAGAGCCGCAUGGUUUCUGUGUGGAAAGUUUUUUCGGUUGGGGAUGGACUCGGGGCCUAUCAGCUUGUUGGUGAGGUAAUGGCUCACCAAGGCGACGACGGGUAGCCGGCCUGAGAGGGCGACCGGCCACACUGGGACUGAGACACGGCCCAGACUCCUACGGGAGGUAGCAGUGGGGAAUAUUGCACAAUGGGCGAAAGCCUGAUGCAGCGACGCCGCGUGAGGGAUGAAGGCCUUCGGGUUGUAAACCUCUUUCAGUAGGGAAGAAGCGCAAGUGACGGUACCUACAGAAGAAGCACCGGCUAACUACGUGCCAGCAGCCGCCGUAAAAC